UUUGCCCAUUGGUUUUGCCAAAUGUCCGACCUGUCGCACAAGGUUGUGGAGAUGAGAUUAGCAACCAUACAUCAUGUUGUAAUGCAAUGGGAAGUUAUGUAUCUCACUUGCAAAAGCAAAGCUUUUUAACCAAUUUGCAAGCGAUAAAUUGUGCGGCUUCACUUGGGUACAAGUUACAGAAAGAAAACAUAACCAACAAUGUCUAUAAUCUUUGUCGUGUAAACCUACAAGACUUCUCCCUCCAAGCAAACGGAACGCAAGGGUCGGGAUGCCUUCUUCCUAGCUUGCCUUCAGAUGCAACAUUCGACAAAUAUUCACGAGUGAGCUUCAUUUGCGAUCUCAAUGAUCACGUUCCCGCACCUUGGCCUUUCAUUUCACAUCCUGCCCGUUCAUCGUGCCUCUACUGUUGGGGCCUAAGCGUCUCGAGCGACUCACCAUUUUUAAAACAAGCUUAUAUCAAGCUUAUUUUGUGUACCUCUUUCUGAUCAUGCAGCUGUAAAGGUCCCUGCACUUCCUGCAGCAACUUCUGGACAAAGAGGUCUAUACGCCGAUGCUGUUAUGUUUCUUCUUGUUUACGCGAUGACAUUCGUUCUUGUGACACCUCGUUGACUUUCUAAUGGAUCAAGAUCUUGCUUACUUAUAGUUGAAAGGUCAGACUUUCUUGAAAACUAACCCUCCCGAGUGGCCCCGAUAAACUCCGAGACACAAGAAUGUGAAAAUGGUGAAGAUAUUUGGCGGGAAAUUCCUUUAACUUGCAAAUGUUAAAAGAAAAAAAGUUUGUAUGGAAGUUGUUGUUUAAGCAUUCUUGCAUAGUGUUAUGUAAUAAGAAUUUUGUAAAGAAAGUGAGUGCAUGUAAAUAUUUU